CAUGCAAUUAAUUAUUUCGGUGCGUCCGGCUCUGAGCUGGUUCGCUUAAUAGGGAAUCGUGUGCAAAUCACGGGCUGACGGGCAACUGUAAGUAACCAUGUUACAAGCCAGACACCUGCCGAUACUAUUUUUUGUUU
rnacentral:ncRNA from 2 species